UACAGAGGGUGCAAGCGUUAAUCGGAAUUACUGGGCGUAAAGCGCAUGUAGGUGGAGGAACAAGUUUGAUGUGAAAGCCCUGGGCUUAACCUGGGAAUGGCGUUGAAGACUGUUGCUCUAGAGUUUGACAGAGGGUCGUGGAAUUUCCGGUGUAGCGGUGAAAUGCGUAGAGAUCGGAAAGAACACCAGUGGCGAAGGCGUCGACCUGGGUCUAAACUGACACUGAGGUGCGAAAGCGUGGGGAGCAAACAGG
rnacentral:rRNA from 1 species